rnacentral:tRNA from 1 species
CGGGGUGUAGCUUAGCUUGGUAGAGCGCCUGCUUUGGGAGCAGGAGGUCGAGAGUUCGAAUCUCUCCACCCCGACCA